GAGGGUGUAGGUCAGUGGUAGAGUGCAUGCUUAUUAGCAAGCACGAGGUUCUGGGUUCAAUCCCCAGUACCUCCU
rnacentral:tRNA from 1 species